UCCGGGGUAGCUCAAUCGGCGGAGCAGCGCCCUGUUAAGGCGAUGGUUGUGGGUUCGAGUCCCACCCCCGGAG
rnacentral:tRNA from 1 species